rnacentral:rRNA from 1 species
GACGAACGCUGGCGGCGUGCUUAACACAUGCAAGUCGAACGGAAAGGCUCCAGCUUGCUGGAGUACUCGAGUGGCGAACGGGUGAGUAACACGUGGGUGAUCUGCCCUGCACUUCGGGAUAAGCCUGGGAAACUGGGUCUAAUACCGGAUAGGACCGCACUUUGGUGUGUGUGGUGGAAAGGUUUUUCUGGUGUGGGAUGAGCUCGCGGCCUAUCAGUUUGUUGGUGGGGUAAUGGCCUACCAAGACGGCGACGGGUAGCCGGCCUGAGAGGGUGGACGGGCACAUUGGGACUGAGAUACGGCCCAGACGCCUACGGGAGGCAGCAGGGGGGAAUAUUGCACAAUGGGGGAAACCCUGAUGCAGCGACGCCGCGUGGGGGAUGAAGGCCUUCGGGUUGUAAACUCCUUUCGCUAGGGACGAAGCUUUUUGUGACGGUACCUGGAGAAGAAGCACCGGCUAACUACGUG